ACAACCCGAUCACGCUCGUUUCCACCGCCUCCGGCGUCCUCGGCGUCGAUCCCAACCGACCUCGAUGGCGACAUUCGUCUCUCCUCUUCCAUUUGAAUGUGCGUCCGUCUCCUCGACCCUCCUCGGACGAUCGCGGCCAACUACCUUGUCCCCGCCGUCUCCGGCACCAAGAACCGCCUCCCUCACCUCCUACCGCCUCCAGAGUGGAGUCAACUGUGGGGAUUCGGGAUCUGUUAUCCCCGGACCGGUAUUCAUAGCAUUUCACUACGAUCACUGCUGGCACAUGGCGGUACACUGAUCCCUCCCGACAUGGUCACUUGUGAGGGAUCUCCCCGUAGGAACUUUGUAUCCAUCCCCACCCCACCCCCCCCUCCUUUGCAUUUGGAACAGAUCGAAUCGCGUUAUACAUCGGGCAGAUCCGGCUGUGGCGGCCAUGACAGCUAGGGCUUGGCAGGGGUUUGUGAUCGUCCACCUCAUCUUCUCGACUCUUUUCACUGCGCUCUACGAGGAUAAGUCCUGGUGACGGAUUGCUUGGAGGCAUGUUCUUGGAAAAAAUGGCCAUCUCAAUCAAGUUGACACCGCUCUUUUGAAGUUGUAUAUCUCUUCCUUACCGAGAUUGCUUCACCAAGAGCUUAUGAUUCGCUUACUGGAGAUUUCAGCUGCACACGUCUCACAAUCAUUUCACUAGUUGCCGCCAUUUCUGUGACAUGGACCUCAUCCGAGCAGGAGCAUAGAGAGAAAUAGAGCUUUUACAAACUAGGUGAAGCCCUUGCCGGAGUGAUGACUGACAUCAGAGAUCGCAGCCUGCUAACAAGCGCUUCCGACUUCUUUUCAUUUUGGUGGCUUGGUUCUUCAAGUGCCUGUGCCAGGUCCAGUUUCUCUAGAUGCCACCUGUUACCUGAAAUUGAGAUGCUAGAUAUCUGAAAGCGAUAGGAUGUACUGUGAGUGAAGGUUUCAUAUUUUUCAUCCAAUACUAUCAGCUAGGAUGGUUUUGGAGUCUUCAGCUAGUGGCAGCCUAAAAGAAGAAUUCACAGGUUCGCAAUACCGAACAAAAGGUGACACACUUGACAAAAGAUUGGGGCAAGCAUGCUAAUAAUGGUAAAUGAUUUUCAAAGUAUCGUUGGCAAUCAUCGAAAGCAAAACAGUUUGAGUCGAGCUGCACAAUGCAAAGCCGGAGACGAGGGGUCAUAUCCUAUUUCUCACUUUGUUGAAGCUGUUGACUCUUUCUGGUGCCAGAGUCUGACUUGCAAUCAAUGCAGCCCAUUUGAAGGAACACCAUGGAGGCCUACCACCACUUGCCUCACCCCUUAAGAGAAGCCAUGUGAUAUGAUGGUACUCCACCUCUUGAUUCAACUCCACUUUGCGGUCUGCACUUGAGCCCACCACUCAAGUAACAGAGGCCAUGCACCAUUUGAAGAUGGUACAAUCACUGUUGGGCGCAACGGGGAUUACUGUAGCCUCCAUGUUGGAAUAGUGAAGGUGGGUCUCACUGAUUUGAGCUCAUUUUUAUCUCCAACGAAUCGAGAAGGUUAUCUUCCUUCUGUCUGCAGAUGGCAGUGCAUUGAGGAUAAAUUUUUAAAGGGACUUCGUAACCUGCUGUCUACACUUAUCACAGGGAUGCUCAACUAUGGGAAUACACAUUCAUAAGUUGAAAGGCCAGAAUACUCAAGGUAAAAUUUGUUGGAGGUUUGGAGCAUAGUAUGAUUUAGAAACUAAGAUUACAUUUGGCUGGGCCUUGCAUCGAAUUCAGUACAGUGCAGAUGUUUAAUACAAGAUAGAAAAUUCGGUAACAUGACAUGAUUCUAUCUUCUACCAGAUCCCAGUUUGGGGAUAUUGGUGGUAGAAGGGGUCGCAUUGUUGCAGCAUUGCUUCCAUGCUUAUCAGCACACAAAAAGUUAUUGAUGCUACUGUUGGUGACACUACUUAAAAGAGGAGUCUCUUGGUCCACCUUAUCUCGUCAACCAUAGGAGGCCAAGAAAAUAUCCAAUCUUGGGUCCCAAAAGGGAACCCAUUGCUACUGUGGAAUGGUUUCCAAUUAGAUCAGGAACUGUAAGAAAGAGGAGGCUGAGGGAGACUUCUAAUCACUCUGUUACACAACCCACCAACAAAGGAGGUCCCCUUCCACCUACAAUUCGACAACUACGUUGGUGCUCAUUCUGUAUCAUGUAGCCCAAAUCUUUCUCUGGAUUCCACUGUGCCACCACCGGCAACUCGGUCCACGAGCACAUCGUUCAAGUGACUGCCAUCAUGUUAUCAAUCUCAAUUAUUGGAUCUGAAGUUGGCGCCGACGCAAUAGAUGCAUGUAACGGAAUCUUGAAUUCCAUGGGGCUACCAGCUUUCCGAGGCAUGUUCUUGUGAUACCUUCUUUCCUUUGGCAAAGUAGCAUGCUUGAUACUUUGGUCUUAGACCAAUCAAAUGAACAUGAAGAUUAGAUGUGGGAAGUGAAAGCCACUCCUAGUUUCAGAUCCUUCUUAUCUCAAGAUGGUUCCAGAAUGAUGCUUAUUUAUCAAAUAAUGUUGAUCUAUAUGGAAGAAAGAAACCCCUCAACUAAUGAUUCUCUUGAGAGGCACUUGAAAUUGCUGUUAUUUGUCCAGCCAUUAAGGUAAUAAUUAUAACCUUAAGCAAGAAAACUAUGUUAACUAAGAGUUAUUUUUAGCUGCUACAGUAAAAGGUUACUAGAAAGAUGUGGGGUUUCACAUUUUGGAUUCCUUGUUCGUAUAAUAGAGCAUGAACUCAAAAAGAAUCUGGAUAGAAAAAAGGUAUGUUAAGGAUAACUUUUUUUUGCUUAUUACAUAAUCUUAGUCCAGUUGAAAAAGUUAAUUAAUGCUAAUAUAUGAGUCUUUGGAACAGAAAAAAUGACAC